rnacentral:misc_RNA from 1 species
GGAAGUAAGAGUCGUAACAAGGUUUCCGUAGGUGAACCUGCGGAAGGAUCAUUCAUAAUAAAGUGUUUUAUGGCACUUUUUAAAAAUCCAUAUCCACCUUGUGUGCAAUGUUAGAUCUCGUCAAUCUUGGCGAGAUUUUUAUACAUCAACUCAUUCUUUAACUAAUUUGUCUGAAAAAUAUUAUGAAUACUUAAUUCAAAAUACAACUUUCAACAACGGAUCUCUUGGCUCUC